AGAGUUUGAUCAUGGCUCAAGAUGAACGCUGGCGGCGUGCGUAACACAUGCAAGUUGAGCGACGACGCAUCUGACGUGGCACAUGUAAAGUGCGAGCGGAGCAGCGGACGGGUGAGUAUAACAUGAGAAGCUGUCCUCUGGUGGGGGGCAACGUCUAGAAAUGGACGCUAAUACCCCAUAGGCCGAAAGGUUAAAGCAGCAAUGCGCCAGAGGAGGUGCUCGUGCCCUAUCAGCUAGUUGGUGAGGUAAUGGCUCACCAAGGCGACGACGGGUAGCCGGCCUGAGAGGGUGUCCGGCCACACUGGGACUGAGAUACGGCCCAGACUCCUACGGGAGGCAGCAGUGGGGAAUAUUGGGCAAUGGGAGAAAUCCUGACCCACCGACGCCGCGUGAACGAAGAAGGCUUCGGGUCGUAAAGUUCUUUUAUGCGGGAAGAAGAAAGUGACGGUACCGCAUGAAUAAGCCCCGGCUAACUACGUGCCAGCAGCCGCGGUAAUACGUAGGGGCGAGCGUUGUCCGGAAUUACUGGGCGUAAAGGGCACGCAGCGGUGUGUCAAGUCAGCUGUAAAGGAUGCGGCUUAACCGUAUUGUGCAGUUGAAACUGACGUACUGGAGUACUGGGGAGGCAAGUGAAUUCCCAGUGUAGCGGUGAAAUGCGUANAUAU
rnacentral:rRNA from 1 species